CAUUGGCCUGGAGCAGGAGCCCAGCUUCAUUGUUAAGCAGUCGACACUGGGCAGCACUGCCAGGAUCACUUGCCAUGUCACUGGAGUGAACAGCAUCAGCUUCAUUUGACCUUUUCCUCCAGAAGAGCUGCAACAGAACAGAGAGACAUGGUGGGGUUUCUGGAAGCCUUCAUGGUGUGCAUCUUUCCUUGUGGAGAUGCCCAAGUGCUGAAACAAUCUAAAUCUUUUAUUACCAAGGGAGUACAUAAAACUGCACGAAUUCAGUGUGUUGUUUCUGGGAUAAGCCUAAGCAGUGCUUAUAUACAUUGGUAUCGACAGAAACCUGGGAAUGCUCCAGAGUGGAUUCUCUACUUGUUAUCAGGAGAACCUGUCAUUGACCAAGGAUUUGAGAAGGAGAAGUUCGAGGUAGAGAAGGAACUCGCUAAUUCUACCUGUACUUUGACAGUCAAGCAAAUAAACAAGAAUGAUGCAGCUACAUAUUAUUGUGCCUGCUGGGAUAACACAGUGUUAGCAAAAUACUGAGUAGCUAGGCAGAAACUUUCUCUGUAUGCUGAACCACAUCCUUUCAAACGUUUGGAUUCAAAGCUGUGUACUUGAGCAGGCUUCUAAGGCUGAAACCAGCUGCACAAACUCCUUCCUGUGUAUGCAACAAGACAUGAAAAUCAACUUAGACCUCCGGUGUGAGAUGCACGGGUGUAAGCCUGCUCCACCCUUGUGAGCCCAGGGACCCCAGGAGAGACCCCAGGACUGCUGAUGAGCCCCGGUCCAUGGUGGGAGGGACCGAGAGAGCUGGGAGCAGGCUGAAUGGGCCAAGGAGGGUCACACCCCAGCCCACCCCAGCUCCUACUUCGCCCAGCCCUCCAGGGAGGUGUGCAGCCAGAGCCUCACGAACAGGCCGCGUAAACAGGCAUGCUCCUGGGCCCAGUGCAUGAGUUAGCAUGGGAGUUUCCGCAGGAGGGCGCGUG